CAGAAGUGGAUGCAGCUGUGUUGAUCCUUAUCAGCCAAACAGUUCAAACAGUGUUCAUUCUUAGCAGGAGCAGAUCUUUUGUGCAGCUAAAGGAUCUUACAUAGCCCUUCAAGAUCAGCCCAGUAUACUCUGUAUGAGAGCUGGAAGAUUCAGAACAAUAUCUCCCUGUGGUUUUUGUGGUACAUCCUGGAAUUCAAGAAAGCUGAUUUCUGCAAGCUUAAGGAAAAUACUAGAUCCAGGACCUUCAUGCCUAAGAAAAAGACCGUGGCUUCACUACAAAGUUUGUGCUUGGAGUAUGUUGCUGAUAACAUGGAAGACAUCUGGGCCAAGGUUUAUAGCGCAGAUGACAAUCUGGACAGCAACCAUUUAAAUGACACUGUGGGACCCUUCAGCAUAUUGGUUGGCCCACAGGUCCAGGAGCUCUUCCGCUUAAUGAGAAGGAGGGGCCGCCUGACCUCUGCCGUGCUGCACUUGCUCUUGGUACCACAGCUGACGGAGCUGGACAUGAGCUCCUGCCCACAGCAGGUCAGAGGUUCACUCCUCCACUUGAUCACAGUGAAAUGCAAGAAUCUGUCCUCAUUAGACCUCCAUGGCUGUGAUCAGAUCCCUGCAGACGCUCUGGUCAACUUGGUGACAUCCUUGCCAUGUCUCAAAAAACUGUGCCUCUCCCAGACCCAAUGUGACACUCAAGUUUUGUCGGCAGUGGGCUCCUGCUGCCCAAAGCUUUGCAAGCUGGACAUCAAGGAAUGUGUGAAACUGUCUGCAGAUUCCCUUUUCUACCUGACCUACAAUCCUCUUUCACAGUCUUUCUGCAGCCAGGACUUACAGGUCCUCGAGACUGGUCCACAGGGUCCGGGCAUGAACAGGCAUGAUGUAAUCUGGGCCCUGGUCUUUGUGCUAUUGGCACUGCCCAGGUUGGAAACAUUGUUUCACAAUGACAUUGCUGAGGCCUUGUGUCUCAUAUACAUGCAGCAGUUUGAUGACGCCCAGAUUCCUGUUGGAUUCCCUGCUCUGCAAGAUAUGACGUGGGACAAGAUGGCCAACUUCCCAAAUCAGGAGAACUCCCGAAUCAUGCUUGGCCUCAAGGAAAUAUUCCGUGUGGAUGACUAUUCCUGGCCUAUGGCCCAAGCUGUAUGCCCACGCUUGGAAAAAGUAUCUGUGAAUUUCGCAACCAGGGCUGUCUUGGACUUAAAUAUCUGGUCAUGCCGCCAUCUUUCCCACUUGACUAUAAGCUGCAGAGAAAGGAGGGACAUGAGGGAACUUUUGCCUGUGGUGACACACCUAGGAUCCCAGCUCCAAUCCCUCUCUGUCAAUGGCUUCUCCUUCCGAGAAAAGUUCUCUUUCCAUGCCUUACUAAGCCAUUGCCUGAAUCUUCAGAAACUGAGAAUUCACUUCCGCUCACCGGUGAUGCAUGGCCCAGGCACUGACCCAAAGCUUGAGGCUUUGGAGUUGGACUUUAGCCUCUCCCCCCACGAAUUCCCUUGGCUGCACGACUUUUCUUUGAAGCACUUGGACACCAUGAUCCCCUUAGCUUCCCAGAAUAUUGUGCUUUUGAAGGAAAGCCUGCAAUACCUCCUGAAACAUUCCCCAUCCCUGGUGAAAUUGCAAUUGGCUGGCCUGCCUUUUUCUUUGGAUGAGGUCUUUGAGAAGAUCCUGGAACCACCUGGUGCUGCCUUGGCAUCCCUACAGCAGCUCACGUUGGCAAAAACCAGUGUCUCCCUCGGCACCAUUUAUAAGCUGCUGUCUUUAGACAAUGAGCUGUGCUUUCUUGAAUUGUUUUUAUGCUCAGGGAUCCAUUGGAAGGAAUAUGCCGGGCUUCUCCAUAUGGUCAGCACUGAGGGCCUGAAACUGGAUAUUAAGUGGAUAUGAAAGUAGUGAGAAAGCAACUUGAGUUGUGCCGACUGUGUGAGUUUUAAUAAAGUUUUAUUUAGAGAGUGCAUAUUUUGUCACAGAGAUAAGAGUACAGUAAAGGAAACCAUUUUAGGGAUCUUGAACACUUCCCAAUGUUCCCAGUACCUGUCUCUUUCAUUCUGUAUUACUUUUAUCAUAUUUUACUUGCCAUUUGAGUUUGAGAAUGCAACCAUUUUUACUGAUAUUCAAGUACAGGGGAGGAGAGUUUGGGGCUGCUUUGCUAAUGUUGAAAAGGAGAAUGAAAGGAUGUGUUUGGUGCUCCAAUCUUCCUAGAAAACAAAGCUUUUUGGUUUUGGAGGGACAAAAGGUAACAACAACACCUUUGCCCAGUCCUUAUCUGAUCUGGCAUCAUGGCAUUUAGAAACAAGAGAAUGGAAAAGCAAUCAAGGGACAGAGAAGAAAUUCCUCUUAUUUUAAUGUUUUCAGUUGAUAAUAUGAAUACUAUUAAAAGGUAAUUUAUAUUAAGUUGUCUGUUGAAAUAAAUAAAAACACUUCAGGCUAGGA
rnacentral:lncRNA from 11 species